CCCCGGAUUGGCCCCUUUUCCUGUCUUCCCAGCCCCCUGUUUUUCCCCAGUCCAGCCCCAGUGUGUGUGCGUGGGGGGGGGGCAGCCUUGAAAAGCCUGAGGCUGUGCAGCUGAGGAGAGAAAAGUCGAGGCCUCCAUGGCAAUGAGGCAGACUCGGCUCACUUGCUCGGCACAGCUCACUUGCUCCGCACGGCCCGUGGCUGAUUUGGCCUUCAGUGGCAUCACGCAUAUGGGUAUUUUUUAAUCAGCACUUGCAAAGAUGGUAAACCUAUGCUAUGCCAGGGAGAUACAGGAGACUGGAUUGGAAAAUUUUGGGGUCAUAAAGGUACUGUUUGGGGUGCAACAUUGAAUAAGGAUGCCACCAAAGCAGCUACAGCAGCUCCAGAUUUCACAGUCAAAGUGUGGGAUGCGGUCUGAGGAGAUGAACUGAUGACCCUGGCUCAUAAACACAUUGUCAAGAGUGUAGGCCGGGCGCAAGUGGAUUUCACACAGGAUAGUAAUUAUUUGUUAACCGGGGGACAAGAUAAACUAUUACACAUAUAUGACUUGAACAAACCUAAAGCAGAACCUAAGGAAAUUAGUAGUCACACCUCUCGUAUUAAAAAGGCUGUAUGAUGCAGUGAGGAUGAACAGAUUCUUUCAGCUGACAAUGAAACUGUUCGCCUUUGGGGUCAUGCUACUAUGACAGAAGUGAAAUCUCUAAAUUUUAGUAUGUCUGUGAGUAGUAUGGAAUAUAUUCCUGAGGGAGAGAUUUUGGUUAUAACUUAUGGACGAUCUAUUGCUUUUCAUAGUGCAGUAAGUUUGGACACAAUUAAAUCCUUUGAAGCUCCUGCAACCGUCAAUUCUGCAUCUCUUCAUCCUGAGAAAGAAUUUCUUGUUGCAGGUGGUGAAGAUUUUAGACUUUAUGAUUAUAAUAGUGGAGAAGAAUUAGAAUCCUACAAAGGACACUUUGGUCCUAUUCACUGUGUGAGAUUUAGUCCUGAUGGAAAACUCUAUGCCAGUGGUUCUGAAGAUGGAACACUGAGACUAUGGCAGACUGUGGUAGGAAAAACAUAUGGCCUUUGGAAAUGUGUGCUUCCUAAAGAAGAUAGUGGUGAGUUGGCAAAACCAAAGAUUGGUUUUCCAGAGACAACAGAAGAGGAGCUGGAAGAAAUUGCUUCAGAGAAUUCAGAUUCCAUCUAUUCUUCAACUCCUGAAGUUAAAACUUGAUCAUCAAAUAUAUGCCACAGAUAGUAUAAAAAUUAUGCACUAAAACAACAAACAAAGAGUUAGUCUCUGCUUAAGGCAAACACAGCAGUAAAUAAUGGGGAAUAUGAAUUAGCUCCAGUGCUAGAACAACUAACUUGGUGUUACCUGUAAGUGAAAACUCAAGAGCAGAUGAAGGCAGGUGGAAUUAUGCUCCUGUAGUACAAUGGGCUGUUUUUUAAAAAAUGAAUAUGUGUAAGCCAACAACCAAUUUCUCUUAUUACAAUUAGAUUUCUCACAGCUGUUUAUGUUAUUAUGGAGAAGAAAAAUAUAUUGGCUUAUUUUUCUGACUUUUCCGUUACAGCAGAAUGCCUUUUUUUUUUUUUUUGCUUUAGUCAUAAAGAAGAGGGAAUUCAUGAUUAAGUAACUGGUUUAAUUUCUCUUUCAUUGUACACUGCUUCUGAACAUC